GACGUAGGGGGCGAGCGUUGUCCGGAUUUAUUGGGCGUAAAGCGUGCGUAGGCGGCUGCGCAAGUCGGUUGUGAAACCCCGGGGCUCAACCCCGGAACUGCAUCCGAUACUGCGUGGCUAGAGGUAGGUAGGGGAGACUGGAAUUCCUGGUGUAGCGGUGAAAUGCGCAGAUAUCAGGAGGAACACCGAUGGCGAAGGCAGGUCUCUGGGCCACUACUGACGCUGAGAAGCGAAAGCAUGGGGAGCGAACAGG
rnacentral:rRNA from 1 species